GACGAACGCUGGCGGCGUGCUUAACACAUGCAAGUCGAACGGAAAGGCCCUGCUUUUGCGGGGUGCUCGAGUGGCGAACGGGUGAGUAACACGUGAGUAACCUGCCCUUGACUUUGGGAUAACUUCAGGAAACUGGGGCUAAUACCGGAUAGGAGCUCCUGCUGCAUGGUGGGGGUUGGAAAGUUUCGGCGGUUGGGGAUGGACUCGCGGCUUAUCAGCUUGUUGGUGGGGUAGUGGCUUACCAAGGCUUUGACGGGUAGCCGGCCUGAGAGGGUGACCGGCCACAUUGGGACUGAGAUACGGCCCAGACUCCUACGGGAGGCAGCAGUGGGGAAUAUUGCACAAUGGGCGGAAGCCUGAUGCAGCAACGCCGCGUGCGGGAUGACGGCCUUCGGGUUGUAAACCGCUUUCGCCUGUGACGAAGCGUGAGUGACGGUAAUGGGUAAAGAAGCACCGGCUAACUACGUGC
rnacentral:rRNA from 1 species